rnacentral:tRNA from 1 species
GGGGCUGUAGCUCAGUGGUAGAGUGCUCACCUAGCAUGUGUGAGGCACUGGGUUCGAUCCUCAACACCACA